rnacentral:tRNA from 1 species
GCACCUGUAGCUCAGCUGGUUAGAGUGCAUGCUUGACAUGCAUGAGGUCGCUGGUUCGAGUCCAGCCAGGUGCA